GACGAACCGUGCGAACGUUAUUCGGAAUCACUGGGCUUAAAGGGCGCGUAGGCGGCUUGCCAAGUCGGGGUGAAAUCCGGCAGCUUAACUGUCGAAGUGCCUUCGAUACUGGCAAGCUCGAGGGAGGUAGGGGUCUGUGGAACUUCUGGUGGAGCGGUGAAAUGCGUUGAUAUCAGAAGGAACGCCGGUGGCGAAAGCGACGGACGUGGACCUCUUCUGACGCCUGAGGCGCGAAAGCUAGGGGAGCAAACGGG
rnacentral:rRNA from 1 species